rnacentral:rRNA from 1 species
AACAAGGUUUCCGUAGGUGAACCUGCGGAAGGAUCAUUGUCGUUUGCUUCCAAAAACAUGACCGUCGCGCAUGUGACCGAAUGAUGCCGGGGGGGAGCUGCCGCCCCGGCCCACCGGCACCUGGCCCUCGCGCCCCGGGGGCGCUGGCCGGGUGCUGAACACGGCGCGGGCUAGCGCCAAGGAACACGAGAUGCUGAGGCGGCCGGCGGAGCGCUGAGGCGCGCGGCCGGCUGUCGAUGCGAAGGAACAACACAUGAUGACUCUCGCAGACGGAUAUCUCGGCUCUCGCAUCGAUGAAGAACGUAGCGAAAUGCGAUACGUGGUGUGAAUUGCAGAAUCCCGCGAACCAUCGAGUCUUUGAACGCAAGUUGCGCCCGAGGGACCCGCCCGAGGGCACGCCUGCCUCAUGGGCGUUAGAAGCCCAUCCACGCUCGGCCGCCUAGACUCGUCCCCGUUGGCGGGACUUGGCGGACCGACGCGGAUCUUGGCCCUCCGAGCCCGAUGGCGCGGUGGGCCCAAGUGUGCGGCCGCCGGAUGGGGCCGGGUGCGGCGAGUGGUGGGUUGCUGCGCGCGCCGUCCCGUGCCACGUCCCGGCAGAGGGCCUUGUCUGACCCCCGAACGAGGACCCGGCCUAUCGCAGCGUCCUGCUGUGCGGCAUCUUCGGACUGAUACCCCAGACUUGUGCAGCUACCCGCAAACAAAAAAAAAGAAAA